rnacentral:lncRNA from 1 species
UUCAUAGAGUAAAGUAAUACAAUUCAAAUUAACAUUCUAACACUCAAAAUAGUAUAAUUCCAAGAUAUCAAAGACCCCCCCACAUAAAAGAGCAGCAAGAAUUUGCAGUCAUGGAUGACUGUCUUUCUGUAGUCCAUGUUGUUCAACAAUUUUAAUCUCUUGCAGCAUAUCUGCUUUUGAUGCCUUUAGCACUUGUCGUAUCCCAAAACUUUCUUCUUCUGUUUUAUUCUCAGUUGGUGUUUUCUUGAGAACAAGUUAUCCCACCCGAGCGAACUUGUCCAUAAAUUUAUAUUCCCAGUCUUGCAGAAUUUUAAGUUGAGCGUCACUAAGGCCUUCAAGGCUCCCAUUAAAAUCUUCAAGUUUGAAUGAUAACUGAGCUAAGGCUCGGCUUGCAUCUCUUCCAGCAAGCAUUGCAUAUGAACCACCAGGACUAUAGAACAUCUUGGAGGUAGAGACAUCGUAGAUCUUUUCUUUGAUAGCCAUCAACAAUGGUUUUUCUGAGUCAGAGCCAUUAUAAGCUCUAAGUUCCUCUUCCGGCAUGUCACCGAGGUGGAGAGACUAUCUUUUGAUGGGAACAAAGUCAUCAGCAGAGAAGAACAUGCCACAAACAACUUUGUAAGUCACAACCAUCAACGCUACAGUGGUGAAGAACGUUGUCGGCCAUAACCCCGUGUACUGCAAGAUAAUCUCUGUCAUUGUCGUCCAUACCGCCGUCGUCAUUCUUCUCUUUUUAGCUUGAUGGAGAAAGAGGAAAAAAUAAGUUGAAAUGUCUAUCAAAUUUUGAGCUGCAAUGCACUCCUAUACUUACUACUAUAAUUAGCUAACAAUACUAUUACUACAUCAAGCAAAAAUCAAAUCUUUUUCUAGUUACAAAUGAUGUUUCAUAUAGUAAAUGACCUACCAUAGUAAAACAAUUCAAAUUCACAUUUUAACACACAAAAUAGUAUUAUUUCAAGAUAUCAAAGACUCACCACAUAAAAGAGCAGCAAGAAUUUGCAGUCUACUCUCCUGCAGCAUAUCUACUUUUGAUGCUUUCAGCACUUGUCCUAUCCCAAACACUUUCUUCUUCUGUUUUAUUCUCAAUUAGUGUUUUCUUUAAAAAAAGUUGUCCCACCCAGGCGUACUUGUUCAUAAAUUUAUAUUCCCAGUCUUGCAGAAUUUCAAGUUGAGCGUCACUAAGGCCAUCAAGGCUCCCAUUAAAAUAUUCAGGUUUGAAUGACAACUGAGCCAAGGCUCGACUUGCAUCUCUUCCAACAAACAUUGCAUAUGAACCACCAGGACCAUAGAACAUCUUAGAGGUAGAGACAUCGUAGAUCUUUCCUUUGAUAGCCAUCAACAAUGGUUUUCUGACUAAGAGCCAUUAUAAGCUCUAAGUUCCUCUUCCGUCAUGUCACCGAGGUGGAGAGGUUAUCUUUUGAUGGGAACAAAGUCAUCAGCAGAGAAGAACAUGCCACAAACAACUUUGUAAGUCACAACCAUCAACGCUACAGUAGUGAAGAACGUUGUUGGCCAUAACCCCGUGUACUGUAAGAUGAUAUCUGUCAUUGUCGUCCAUACCGCCGCCGUCAUUCUUCUCCUUUUAGUUUGGUGGAGAAAGAGGAAAAAAUGAGUUGGAAUGCCUACCAACUCUUGAGCUGCAAUGCACUCCUAUACUUACUACUACACUACAACCAAUCAAAUACUUUUCCAAUAGCAAACUAGUUGAAUCAGCUAACAAUACUAUUACUACAUCAAGCAAAAAUCAAAUCUUUCUCUAGUUACUAAUGAUGUUUCAUAUAGUAAAUGACUUACCAAAGUAAUACAAUUCAAAUUAACAUUUUAACACACAAAAUAAUAUAAUUCCAAGAUAUCAAAGACCCUCCACAUAAAAGAGCAGCAAAAAUCUGCAGUCAUGGGUGGCUGUCUUUCUGUAGUCCAUGUUCUUCAACAAUUCUACUCUCCUGCAACAUAUCUGCUUUAGAUUCCUUCAGCACUUGUCCUAUCCCAAACACUUUCUUCUUCUGUUUUAUUCUCAGUUGGUGUUUUCUUUGGAACGAGUUGUCCCACCCAACCAUACUUAUCCAUAAAUUUAUAUUUCCAGUCUUGCAGAAUUUCAAGUUAAGCGUCACUAAGGCCUUCGAGGCUCCCAUUAAAAUCUUCAGGUUUGAAUAUAACUGAGUUAAGGCUCAGCUUACAUCUCUUCUAACAAACAUUGCAUAUGAACCACCAGUACCAUAGAACAUCUUGGAGGUAGAGACAUCGUAGAUCUUUCCUUUGAUAGCCAUCAAAAAUGGUUUUUCUGAGUCAAAGCCAUUAUAAGCUCUAAGUUCCUCUUUCGUCAUGUCACCAAGGUUGGGAGACUGUCUUUUGAUGGGAACAAAGUCAUCACCAGAGAAGAACAUGCCACAAACAACUUUGUAAGUCACAAC